rnacentral:sRNA from 1 species
UAUCGUAUGGGCCGGAGUGGAGUUUUC